AUGGCGCCAUCGGGUACCAGGUUUGAGGUGGAGAAGUUCAACGAAACUGAAAGCUUUGGGUUAUGGCAGACAAGGGUGAAAGAUUUGUUGGUACAACAGGGAUGCUUGAAGGCGUUGUUGCAGGAAGCCAAGCCAGCUAAGAUGGAGGCUGAUGACUGGCAGGAGUUACAGUUGAAAGCAGCCGGGACUAUACGGUUCUGUCUGUCGGACCAGGUUAUUUAUCAUGUGAUGGAUGAGAAUUCGCCGAGGAAGAUCUGGGAGAAGCUGGAAAGUCAGUUUAUGUCCAAGACUGCGACGACCAAGGUGUAUCUGAAGCAAAGCUGUAUGGGAUGA
rnacentral:rRNA from 1 species